UGGACUAAUUGUUUUAAAAAGGUGAAAUUAUUACCAUUUUUUUUGAGGUAGUGGAUCUGAAAGCUAACAUUCCUGUGUCUCUUCUUGGGCACCCAGCUUAGGUUAACUGAGUUUUCCCCCACAGACAGGCUGAUGUUGGCAGGAGGUGCUGCAAGACAUUUGGACAGAGAAAUCAAAUUCUGAGUUUAGUACUUUCUGGUCCUCUAUGCGUCUGAUCUGUGAUGAGGAAGAACGCGGUGAAUCGCCUUUGUACCUCCAUCCAGCGUGGUGGCACCCUCCCUCAUGAUGGCCUCUCCGUCCCCUGCAGCAGUGCGCCCCCUUAAGUAGAAGCGGUAGUGGCUGUGACGGUCCAGGCCCUUCAGGGUGAGGAGUCCAGCUGAGGGUGACCGCACGGUGCUUAGGAUCGGUGAUCUGGAGGAGGACAGGGGGAUCUGGACGAUCUGAGGGGGACAACAAUAUUGUUACCACAACCACUGUAUGUCUCCCAUGUUCCGAAAAAUAUUAAAAAAUACUGAACAAUUUUGUAUA